ensembl:lncRNA
CGAAAGGGGAAAAAGGAGCGGAUGGUGAUAGAGGACUUCCAGGAAUCCCAGGUAAAUCCUAGUUUGCAAAUUAAACAUACUGUACCAUUACACAUAUUCACUGCAGGACUGUGCUGAAGGGAAUUAUAAUUACCUAAUUACUAUUUUUUUUUUUCAGGAACAGCCUCUAAUUUUGACAUUUACACAUUCAAGGUAAACUUAUCGAUACACCACCUGUCAGUUUCAUUAGCAUGCUGGAUGUAUUGUACUUAAUAAUGUUAAACUGUUUCCAACAGAAUGAACUGAAGGGAGAGCGUGGCGACCUCGGUGUGAAGGGAGAAAAGGGAGAGUCUGGUGGUGGAUAUUAUGACCCACGUUUCGGAGGAGUACAAGGCCAAACAGGGCCUCCCGGCAAACCGGGCCUUGAGGGUCCAAAGGGAGAAUCCGUAUUGGGACCUCCUGGACCCCAGGGGCCACCAGGGACACCAGGGAUUGGUUACGAUGGGCGUCCAGGUGCUCCAGGACCACCUGGACCUCCAGGACCCCAAGGAUCUCCUUCACUUCCCGCAGCAUAUAGGCCCAAUAACCGUGAGCUGCUUUGUCUAUUUUUAAAUAUUCUGGAUAUUUCUAAAUAUGCACUCCUACAACUAGUGUGGAGGGGACCUCAAGCUAUUGUUUCUACUUGUUGGCUACAAACUGUACUUGAGCGAUUUAUUAGCCAAUUCAUAAACAAGAUUUUGUUUUCUUUUGAAGCUGUCAGUGUUCCUGGACCUCCUGGUCCUCCUGGUCCUCCUGGAAGUGCUGCUAUCUCCUCUGGGGUUACUAUUUUGAGGUCAUAUGACACAAUGGUAGCUACUGCCAGACGCCAGUCAGAGGGCAGCCUCAUCUACAUCAUUGACAAAGCAGACCUCUAUUUGAGAGUACGCGAUGGACUGCGGCAAGUCAUGGUACAGUCAUCUACUUUUCACCCAAGGAAUAUGUAGUGUAUAGUUGACUUGCAUUUUUGUUCAUUCAAAUUGAAUAUAGUUUUGUUUUAUAUGUU